GAUGAACGCUGGCGGCGUGCCUAACACAUGCAAGUCGAGCGAACAGACGAGGAGCUUUCUCUCUUGACGUUAGCGGGGGACGGGUGAGUAACACGUGGAUAACCUUCCUAUAUGACUGGGAUAACUUCGUGAAAACGGAGCCAAUACCGGCUAAUAUAUUCAACCGCAUGGAUCAAGAGUUAAAGACGGCUUUCCUGUCACUUAUAGCUGGAUCCGCGCCGGAUUAGUUAGUUGGUAAGGUCACGGCCUAACAAGGCGCCGAUUCGUAGCCGAUCUGAGAGGAGGAACAGGCCACAUGGAACUGAGAAACGGUCCAGACUCCUAAGGGAGGCAGCCGUGGGGAAUAUUGCCGAAUGGGGGCAAGCCUGAUCCAGGCAUCGCGGGGGGAUGAAGAAGGGCUUCGGGUUGUUAAGCCCUUGUUAUGGGGAAGAAACGAAUGAGGUUAAAACCAUGCAGGUCUGAAGGUACCCUAAGAAGAAGCCCCGGCUAACUUCGGG
rnacentral:rRNA from 1 species